rnacentral:lncRNA from 1 species
AUGUCUGCUAAAUCAUUCAAACCAAUUGUAAAGUUCGGUGUUAUUGGCUCUGUUGCCCUCUGUCUAAGUAUUGCUGCCGCCUUCGUUGUGUGGAAACGAACACAAGGCAAAUUCAAAACAGACAAAAAGGAGAAAAGCAUGGAGGAUGGAUCCGAUCAGAACAGAAAAAAAAAGGUGAUUUACUCAAAAAAGGACAACAGUGAAUUCAAGGUUGCAGUCGAAAAAGGAGAAAGUGAGAUGUUCAUGACAGGAAGAGAAGAAGAAGAGCAAGAAACACGAGAUCAGCAUGUGACAGAAACAGAGCUAAUAGGGGAUAUGGAGAGGCCAGAAAGAGAGACAGUAUUGAAAAGUAUUGAAAAUGAUUCUCAGUCUACAACAGAUAAAAAAACAGAUGAAGAAAAUGAAAUGACAGGAAGAAGAGUGAAAGCUGAAGGAGGUGAAGAUGAAGGAGAGAAGAUGAUGGAAUCAGUAAAAUAUUAUUUAGGAGUUCAGUUUUUACCACUAUCAGAAAAACACAAAGAGGAGCUCAUGUCAGGAAUAUCAAGUUCUAUGGAAUGGGGAAUAUAUUUUAACCUUGAUCAGAAGCAACAGAGUGAACAAGAAGAGCAGUUUGUGGAAGAAAGAGAAACAGAGAGUGAUGUGGACAUGAAGCAGCUAAACAACAAGAAAAAGAGGUCAAAGAAAAAGAAGACCCAACUUAAUAACCCAUGUUCAGGGUUUCCACCAGAGAAGACAAAACAACCUGAAACAGACCAACAGAAAGAAGCAAACCAGAGGACACUUCAAUCAGAGACAGGAAUGAAAGGAGAGAACAAUGAGACAGAGAUCCAAACACAAAAAGACAAAGACAACCAACAUCACACAAAAGAAAAACAGCAAGACAGAAAUGAACCUGAAGAUCAAGAAGGAUAA